GAGAUUAUAGGUAUUUUCAGAGAUGGUUUCUGAUUCACUUAAGCUGAAAAACGGAUGUUUGUAUAUUGCAUGCGUCAAAUUAAAUCUAUAACAACUGUGUCACAAGUCAAUGAAAAAGAUGAAUGAUUCCUAUUAAGCUGGUGACCAAGAUUAAUCAUAGAAGACAGAUCAGGGUGAUUUAGUCCCAUUAGCAUCGUGUUACGGAGGAACUUCACCACAUCCAAUUCAUUUCUAUACACUUACUUAGGAUGGCAUAGGCAGUAUGCAAA
rnacentral:lncRNA from 1 species